AACUACUCAACCUGUGGUACUUUGUUAUGGCAGCCCUAGCAAACUAAUACAAUCAGUCUGUCAAGAUCUGUAUCUUCUCCCUAAACACAAAUGUGGCCUGACAGGUUCCAUGGUCCCUUAGUGUCCUGUGAUCCACAUCCCACAUCAUGCUGAUAGUGUCUAGAAUCCCCAAAUACUUUAUCAUCCUCUCUUGCAGCAUAUGUCUCGCACAAGCUCCUGAGCGUAUUUACUUCUAAACAGUACUCUCCCCAAAACAUUUUCAAUGUAUCCUUUCGUAAGACAAAAUUUUGAGAACUUACAAACCUGAGAAUAUUUUUAUUACCCCUCACAAUCGAAUGGGAAUUUUAUUAGACGUAAAACUUUAUAUUCAAUGUGAUUUUCUAUCAAUAUAUUAAAAGUACUGCUUCACUGUCUUUUCACAUCAUGUUGCUGUGAAGGAGUCUGAAACCAAUCUGAUUCUUGUUUAUUUUAGGUCAUCUUCACUUUCUGGAAGCUUGUAGAACUUUUUCUUUGUACGUGAUGUUCUUAGAUAUUAUAUGUAGGGAUUAAUUUGAGGGAAGAGGGCAUCAUCUUUGUUGGAACCAGAAAUCUUCCUACACAGGGUGAGUACAUGAAAUUGGAC